UACGUAGGGGGCAAGCGUUGUCCGGAAUCAUUGGGCGUAAAGAGCGUGUAGGCGGCCCGGUAAGUCCGCUGUGAAAGUCCAGGGCUCAACCCUGGGAUGCCGGUGGAUACUGUCGGGCUCGAGUCCGGAAGAGGAGUGUGGAAUUCCUGGUGUAGCGGUGAAAUGCGCAGAUAUCAGGAGGAACACCAAUGGCGAAGGCAGCACUCUGGGACGUGACUGACGCUAGACGCGAAAGCGUGGGGAGCAAACAGG
rnacentral:rRNA from 1 species